AUUGAACGCUGGCGGCAGGCCUAACACAUGCAAGUCGAGCGGAAACGAGUUAUCUGAACCUUCGGGGAACGAUAGCGGCGUCGAGCGGCGGACGGGUGAGUAAUGCCUAGGAAAUUGCCCUGAUGUGGGGGAUAACCAUUGGAAACGAUGGCUAAUACCGCAUGAUGCCUACGGGCCAAAGAGGGGGACCUUCGGGCCUCUCGCGUCAGGAUAUGCCUAGGUGGGAUUAGCUAGUUGGUGAGGUAAGGGCUCACCAAGGCGACGAUCCCUAGCUGGUCUGAGAGGAUGAUCAGCCACACUGGAACUGAGACACGGUCCAGACUCCUACGGGAGGCAGCAGUGGGGAAUAUUGCACAAUGGGCGCAAGCCUGAUGCAGCCAUGCCGCGUGUGUGAAGAAGGCCUUCGGGUUGUAAAGCACUUUCAGUCGUGAGGAAGGUGGUAGUGUUAAUAGCACUAUCAUUUGACGUUAGCGACAGAAGAAGCACCGGCUAACUCCGUGCCAGCAGCCGCGGUAAUACGGAGGGUGCGAGCGUUAAUCGGAAUUACUGGGCGUAAAGCGCAUGCAGGUGGUUUGUUAAGUCAGAUGUGAAAGCCCGGGGCUCAACCUCGGAAUUGCAUUUGAAACUGGCAGACUAGAGUACUGUAGAGGGGGGUAGAAUUUCAGGUGUAGCGGUGAAAUGCGUAGAGAUCUGAAGGAAUACCGGUGGCGAAGCGGCCCCCUGGACAGAUACUGACACUCAGAUGCGAAAGCGUGGGGAGCAACAGG
rnacentral:rRNA from 1 species